rnacentral:lncRNA from 1 species
GCUAAUAUUUGAAAAUGUAAACAUGUUAAUGUAAAUGCAUACAGGUAAAAAAAAAUGCCACUAUUUAUCACAAUAAGUACAUAACAAGCAUGUGUAACAAUGAACUAAACAGACCCUACUUAGUACACUCAGUUUUACUAAGUAAAAAUUGUCAUUGUGAUCAGGGGAAGUCCACUUGGUAUUCAGAAUGAGAUUUGUUUGCAAUGAUAUACAUAUAAUUGUUUACUUUCAGGUAGCCAAUAAGAUCGUGCAGAACCGUCAUGUUGACCAGCACGUGACCAUUAGACAUCGGGAAAUUGUAAAUGAAAUAAAGCAAUCUUCUAUUUUUUCUUAUUUUCAAAAAUUAACACCAAUAGCUUUUACUCUGUGCUGUGUCCAUGUGCACGUACCUAAUAUGUUACCUGAUAAAGUUUAUCAAUUGGAAACUUAAUCCCUUGGAUAUGCAUAGAUUCAUGUUAUGCUAAAUCCUUUACCUGCUCACCCUUCCGGAGCAUCUGGGAUCACCCCCAGUUUCUGGUGGGGUGCGUGUUGCUUAGUCUUUAGUUUUCUAUGUUGUGUCUUUUAUAUAUUUAUUUGUCGAUUAGAUGUGUAUUGAACUUUUGGUUUAGUCUUAGACACAUGUUUUUGUUUUAAUAGAUGCUAUUGUUUUUGGAUUAUUUAUCUGUAACUGAGUUUACUCUGAGUUCUGUAAUUUGUGUCUGGUAUUUUUGAUAAGGUUUUCCUGCGCAUUGGAUUGAUCUACAGAGUUAACCAACUUUUAACUGAUUUUUAAAGUUUGUACCUUUUUCUUAGAGUUUCACCACUCUCAGGGAAUUGGGAGGGUUUAGUGCAAGCAUACAUGUCUAUUAAUCUCGCUAUAUUAUGUAUGUGCUUUUAUCAAUCUAAUCUGUAAAUAUGGUAAGUGCUUUGGUAUUUAUAAUGAUGCGAUCUUUCAGUAAAAUUCUGCCAGAAUAUCAAUUAUGCAAUUAAAAAAAAUUGAUUGAUCUUUACUGCUUGUCGUCCAGUGGCAAACAAUUCAUGAAUUUUUAGGACACGAAUAAAUUGAUAAGGAAAAAAAACUCAAGAAAAAGACGG